rnacentral:rRNA from 1 species
CUACGGGGGGCUGCAGUGGGGAAUAUUGCACAAUGGGCGCAAGCCUGAUGCAGCCAUGCCGCGUGUAUGAAGAAGGCCUUCGGGUUGUAAAGUACUUUCAGCGGGGAGGAAGGGAGUAAAGUUAAUACCUUUGCUCAUUGACGUUACCCGCAGAAGAAGCACCGGCUAAAUCCGUGCCAGCAGCCGCGGUAAUACGGAGGGUGCAAGCGUUAAUCGGAAUUACUGGGCGUAAAGCGCACGCAGGCGGUUUGUUAAGUCAGGUGUGAAAUCCCCGGGCUCAACCUGGGAACUGCAUCUGAUACUGGCAAGCUUGAGUCUCGUAGAGGGGGGUAGAAUUCCAGGUGUAGCGGUGAAAUGCGUAGAGAUCUGGAGGAAUACCGGUGGCGAAGGCGGCCCCCUGGACGAAGACUGACGCUCAGGUGCGAAAGCGUGGGGAGCAAACAGGAUUAGAUACCCCCGUAGUC